rnacentral:lncRNA from 1 species
AGAUAAUGAGGUGAUACUUUUCAAAGAGGCUGCAGGUGGUGAAGAGAGCCAUUAUCAAGUUAAAAAAGAAGAUGUAGGAGUUUAAGGUCAUGACAAAGGAGAAGAGUGGGAGGAAGGGCUCCUAGGCAUUUGGGUGUGACACUCAUUCAGGAACUUUUGUAGAGCUCAUCUUCUGGGACGGCCAUUUUGCUGGGUUGUAGAGACAACAUUGGGACGUAAGAUAGAAAUGUUCACUGACUACUUUGAAGCCACUGCCUAGUCUGGCAGAGAAGAUUGAAAUUCUUUCACAAGUGCUAUCCUUGUCAUCAAGGUCAUCAAGACCUGUACCCAUCACUGACCUGGUGGUAGUUUCUGCAGGUGAAGAAAGAAGACUCGGCCUGGUGUUAAACUCAGCGGUAUUGUUACAUGCCAAGGUUGAGAAUCAGAGACAGUUACAACUUGAAAAAGCACUAGGGGGAGCCAGACCCCUUUCAGAUGAAUUCUUCUUUGUCCUGCAGCUGGAGCCCAACUCCAGCCCACAUUUAGAUCGGCUUGUAAACUUGAGAAUUUAGUGCUCAUCUCAGUCCAUAGACGCGGUUACAUGUGUAUUUGAAAUUUAAAAUCACAGAUUUUAGAGAGUAAACUUUUAUGCAUUAAAAGGGACUUAGGAGACCUAUUAUCUAAAUGCAAUCUAUGGACCUUGUUUGGAUCCUGAUUCAAACAAACCAGUCUUAAAAAGAUGUUUGUGGGACAACUAGGGAAAUUUGAGCAGGCACUAAAUAUUAUAUUAGGGAACUAUUGUUAAUUUUAUUAGGUGUUAUAAUGGUAUCUUGUUAAUGCCAAAAAAUUCCUUUUAAAUCCUGUUAAAGAUGCAUAUGGAAGAUUUUUUACAUGAAAUUAUAUGAUGCCUGUAAUUCAUUAUAAAAUAUCUCACAAUAAAGUGUGUGUGUGCACGUGUGUGUGAUUGUGUGUGUGAUAAUAGAUGAAAUAAGAUUGAUGAUAUCUUGAUAAUUGCUGGAACUGAGGUUCAUUAUAACACUUUUGUGAGUGUUUGAAAUUUUUCAUUAAAAGUAAAAAUAAAA